AUCCAAGAAAAACUUAAAUGUUAAGCCAUAUAAUAAGUCUAUUGUGGAUUGGACGGAAAAUAUAGUUUAUGCAGACCAUUCUACACAUCGAUGGUGCGCCAUCCCUUUGGAUGACGAGAACCAGUUUCCAUCUUCUGUUAAUCUUGAGCCUGUUACCUUGGAGUCUGCUGUGCUGAAUUUUGGAGAAAAUCAUCUAGCUUUGAUCAAUACUGGUCUAGAUAAUGGUUAGAACUUCAAUAAUUCUUUUGUGCAUGUAUUUUAUAAGUUGUUACUUGGGUUAUGGAUUUGUUUGGCUGAUACUUGAUAGAAGGCGGUGAGGUGGAGUGGAACUUGCCAAGGAGCCCUUGGGAAUAUAUAACAGAAAAUGUGCUGGAAGACUUGCUUUCGGCAUUUAAACACGUGAGGAAUGAAAUGAAGUCUGCAAGGCCCAAAGAAGUAAGUCCAACUUUGGUUGCCAGAGUGGGGAAAGUACUCUUUCGCAGGUUAGAUUUCCUCCUCAUCUAAUUCACUGGUUAGCUUUCGAGCCUUUUGUGCCAUUCAUUAACUUGAUUAUGUAAUGCGAUUAUUCAUUAAUUUGUUCUUUUAGUUGCCUCAGGAUACUGGUUAAAGUAGAACAAAAAAUAGUUAUACUAUGAUAAAAGGUCAUAUUUUGGCAUUUUAGCUCAGAAGAUACGGUGCCAAGUUUGACAGUGAAGUAGGAUUAUCAAAUUCUGCCCUUGUUUUUGAUACUUGAUACAUAUAUUUCAGUAUUGAUGCUUAAUCACUGUCAACCAUCUCAUAUUUCACAUUAGUUUUGUAACAACAGGAAAGAAUCUUGUACUACUCCUUAGUUAUACAUGAGCAGAUGAAAGACAAUCUUUUGUUGAAAUCUUUGUAUGAGUUAACAUGGAAUCUAUCAGAAAAAAAAUUGUUUACUGAAGCCUUGAAACAAUGGAGGAAAUCAUUUUGCACAAACAUCCCCGUUUCAUUUAAGGAAAAGAUUUUAAAGGAAGUUGUCUCGAAAGUUGUAGUUGAUUUCGAAGAGGAGAAACAUAUACCAAGUAAAGCUUUUCAGCCUAUUGUUCUUUUAGUUGAUCGUUUCAUGCGAUUAUCCUUUUUACCUUUAUAUUGUUCUCUUAUCUGCCUCAGAAUACUGGUUGAAGUAGAACAAAAUAAUAGUAUAUUCUAUGAUAAAAGGUUACAUUUGGCAUUUUAGUUUAGAAGGUAGGAUGCCAAGUUGAACAGUGAAGGACUCUAAAACUCUGCCUUUGUUUUUCGAUACUUGAUCAAUAUUAUUUUGGUAUCGAUGCUUAAUUACUGUCGAUAAUGAUAUUUCAUAUAAUUUGUACACAAACAGAUGUAUACAUAGCAAUUUUUGUUGAAAUCUUUGAAUCAGGAGCCCUUCAAUUAACAUGGAAUCCAUCAGAAAAAAUUAUGGUACUGAAAUCUUGCAACAAUGGAGGCGAUUAUUUUACAUAAACACUCCUGUUUCAUAUAAGGGAAAGAUUGUGAACGAAGUUGUCCCGAAAAUUGGAGUUGAUUUCGAAGAGGAGGAAGAUACAUACGAAUUACAGGUAUUUCUUUUAGACACGUCAACUUACUGAGUUCUGAGUUCAUGUGUUCCAGAAUUCUGACUGUAGCUAUUGAAUUGCUCAUUCAUUUUAUUCUUGUAUAGUUGUCUGAUUCUACGAGUCCAGAGUCCACUCUCUUCUGCAGAUGUCGGGUAAUGAAAGAACAUGGAAAGCUACAACUCUGUGAGGCAAGUUUUCCAAUUCAUGCCAACUAAAUUUGAUGAAACCGUAUAUGUUGCAUCAAUAUCACAAUUGAGUUGCCACAAUAUUGAUUAGAUAACUUGGAUAUAAUAUUAUGCAGCAAAAAUAUGGGUAUUGUAUAAUAAAACUCAAUGUUUCAACCACUGAAUGUGAUUAAGUUCUCCAAUUUUUGGAAUAAUUUGUGAGGAGCCUUUCCAGAUCAUUAAUAUUUUCCGGACUCUUCCCUCUCUUAAUUUUUCCUGUUGCUUGGCUUAGGGUUUGUAUCCUGAGAUUUACAUCGAAAUGUCAACUUUCUUUCAGAUCAAAUUGAAACCAGUGCGUAACAUGGUAAUGGACAUUUCAUGCACUACUAAGAAUCUGGACCUGAGACUAAUGCUGUGCACGGAGAAACUCGUAACUGAUCUGACUGUAAGCUGCUUUGCCCCGUCCUUUAUAAAUUUACAUUUCUAAUCCUUGUUUCAGCAAAGAUAUUAAUUUUGACCUAUAUUUAUCUUCAAGCCACAAUCAAAACAAAGAAUGUAACGUUUUCUAGAAAUGUAACAGGACGAUAUGGGUUAACCGUACUGGAUCCCUGGCUGAACUUAUGCUUCUUAGAAUGAAGUUUCGUGAUCAUAUUAAUUGUUGCCAUUUCAGAAUGAUGAGAUGCAAAGCAUCACGGAUCUGAUUAAUUCUGCGAUUCUAGAUCCAGAUUUGAAGGGUGGAUUGAGGUGGCCCCCGGGGAAGGAGUCUUCUGGAGAUAAAUACACAGUUGUUAGGGUUUGUCACGGAAUGGGUAGUACGUAUAGAAAUUCAUCACUGGGACUUAAAGUAAAACACUACGAUCGAUUUGAUUUGAGAACCUUAACUGGGGAAGCUUCCUGGGGAAUAAGUCUGAUGCUGGAAAACGUCGUGUCAAAGUUACAGGUAAAGGCUGCCUAUUCUCUUGGACAUUUUUUUUAGUUCAUAUGCUGAAAUAAAAGAUUAGUUUGAGAAAGUUUGUCGUGCGCUGAAAUCUCCUGUUCUUUUAAUUUUCAGGAAGAGAAUGUUGAAGCCAGCACAAUUUCUGAGAUACUCAAGGGAGAUAUGCAGUUGAUAUGGGAUAACUUCUUGAGCUUUGAACGUUUUCUAACAUGAAAUUGCAUGUUGUAAAUCAGUGAUAACGUUCUGUGCGAUGUGUAUAUAUCUGUCUACCUCCUUUGUUUUAUGUUCAACUUUCGGCAUCGUUUGAUGAAUAAUUAGUAACUGUUUUUGUAUUUCUUGCAAUUCUGUUUGUAUCUGGCAUCUUUGAUGGUUAAUGAAAUUUUCUCGAUUUUACAUUCGAUGACUACACUGCCAGUAAAUGCUUCGGCUCACGUGUUUCUUACAACCAAGAUGGUUAAUGAACUUUUUGCAGUUUCUUUUAGCCUUGCGUCCCAACCCCACAAGCGGCGGUUAAAGGAAAAGGAAAUUUUGUUACAAGAUUCUGAACACACAUUGAUAAUAGGUGGAGUAUAUAUACUCUCUAGGUUCUAUAGUAACUUCUAGUAACCUAAUGCAAGGUUUUUUAACUUUUUGAUGACGGAUAAUGCUCAACAUCACACGUUAAAGAUCCAAAUGUUUAUACAUUAAUUGUCCUUUGGUUUUUUAACUUUUCGAUGGAGAAGAUGAAGGAUUUUUUCUUCGUAUUGAUUUGUUAUUAGAGAAGAAGGGUUUUCUUUAAUAAUGAAUCCCCAUUUUUAAAUUGGAUUUUCAUUCACGUAGCACAAAUUUUGUGGGGCUGUGACGCUCACACGAGUAGAUAAUGGAGAAACUAACAUAAAUUGAUACAGAUGUAUGACAUUUGUAUGAAAUUGUUAGUCGUCUUAAAAAAUUGAAAAUUUUGAAAAAUGUACCAAAUUUGAUUUGGACAAAAACUUGAGGAGACAAAAUGAACCUUUUUUCUUACAUUUUUCGUUGAGUUAGAUAAAUUUCAAUCCCAAAUUUCUGGCCCAAUGAACUCCAAAAAUGGCUUUUGAGUUGUAAAAUGAGCAUUUCAAAGCUAAUUUUAUUCUUUAUUAAAACCCUCUGGUAAGAGUUAUUUAAUACUACAUUUUAAUAAUAUUUCUCUUUACUAGUAAGUGUAAGUGAAAGAUUUUAAGUUUGAUUUUCGUCAAAUAUGAAUUUGAACCACAUUAUUAUAGCAAACUCAUUGUGAGGCUUAGCCAUCUCCGUCUACGGUCUGGUGAUAUUCAUCUUUACUUGUAAGUAAGAGGUAUUAGUUCGAAUCUCGUGGAUGUCGAAUUUGGUACCAAAUUAGAUUGCUCAUUGUGUGGCUUAUCCAAACUCCCUAUUCUCUUAAUUUAAAAUAUAUCGUUAUUUAAAAAAAUGUAAAUAAUAUCGUUUGUACAAAAAAAAAAAAAAAAAAAAAAAAACCUCUAGCAAAGUUAAUUAGCAAAAAGAAAAAGAAAAGCCCUCCGUCGAGGUUUGUCACAAAAAAAACAUAUAACCCUCACCAAAUUGUCUCUAAAACGAAAAUGAAAAAGAAAAAAAGACCUCCAGCGAGUUGUCUUUAAAAUGAAAAAGAAAAGGAAGAACCCCUCUAGCAAGUUGUAAUCCUAUAUAAUCAACGUGGAGCUUCAGUCAUGAUUCAUUGGGUUGAGAUAAUUCAAGAUAAUUUUAAUGAAAAGUUUUCGGUACUAUUUAUUUUAACGAUAAAUCACAUUUUUACAUUAAAAAACAAUUUUGAUAUUAUUCACUUUACUCUUUAUUUUGUCAUUUUCAUUAAAAUUCAAAAUUUUCAAAUUUUUUUCAUUAGUUUUUCUUUAAUUUCAAAGCAUUCAUCCUAAGCAUUUCCUUUUUUUUUUUUUUUUCAAAUGGCGUCUACUUCUUCCAGCUCUUCCUCCUUUAUCCUUCUCCUUACACUACUGUUGACCCUAAAAAUUACCAAGCCUACGUGGCGCGCAGGCCGAGUAACUAGUGAGCUAACUACGUCAUUCGGUUGUAUGUGGGCGUGCCAACUCGUCGGCCGACGAGUAAAAUAUGUUGAUGUUGCGUUGGGUGCGCUAUUGACUUCUGAAUCUCGCGACUGCGGCUGAGGAAGGAACACUCUCGGCCUUCGGGUUCUAGAGCCUGAAGACAAGGCUGCUAGUUCUGCGAAGUUCAAUAUCAAAUUCUGCUUUCAAUGUGCCGAAUGUAAUAACUUGUAACACCUCACUUCGCCGAAAAGGCUAAUGAGAUGACCUUUGCCAAUAAGGAUUCGAAAAUCCUUCUCGACUGAGACUUGGAUAGAUAACUAUUCGACGCAGUGCUGUUUAUCCAAACUAAAGGUGCUCUGUGGUCGGCUGAUUCUACGGCAACAAUGCUGUUUAUCCAAACUGAAGAUGUUCGCCAGUUGCCUUCAUAAUGCUGUUUAUCCAAACUGAAGAUGUGUUUGCAAAAAAGAAAAUAAAAAAUCUCAAGAUGUUUGAGAGGUUUCGUGUAGAGCGAGGAUUUGCGCAUGACAGUUUGUGUGUUGAGUUGGAGAUCCCUCAAUGCUGCACAGUCUUCAUGUAUUUAUAGCGUUGGAUAUCUACCUGGAACAGCUGAUGGUGCUUGUAGAGUCCAACUGCAAUUCUUUUCUGCGGAACAGAAACUAAUCCGCAUCAGAGAACUACCAUAUCCUUCAGAUAGAUGUUCACGAUUUUCCAAACUUCACAAAAGCCUAUCCAAAUAAAAGUCUUAUCACCAUAGCCUAGCCUACCUAGGCUUGUCAUCAUUAUCCAAGACUAUUAAAUCUUAGACUUAUCACAUCACCACAAAAAACCAAGCCUAUCUAGGUUUCUCCAUAAUCCAUCCGUGCAUGCACCAUGACUUUUCAAACCUCAUCUACCAAGUUUCUCCAAUCUGAUAGCAGUAAUCCUAAGUUCACUCGAACUGUACUUGUUCGAAGAUAUAAUACUAAGAUAAUCCAAAUUACAAAAUAAUUACUAUGACAAAAACUAUAAUAUUAUCCUUUAACAAAAAUAUCUUCACUUUUCCAUCCGACGGUUGAGAACUAUAUUUACUCAACGGCCUUGAUUACACAUGCCGAUGGUGUAAAUUUGGGUUCAAACACCUACCCAGUGUUUCCAACUUUCUUACGAUUAAACUUGACCUUACCAAUUACCCUGUCUGGAAAGCUCCCUUACUUCGUAGCAGGAAUCUCGUCUCUUUUGUUGAUGGCACUAGCAAAUGUCCUCCUGCCUUUCUCAGAUACUGAUACUGUGAAUCCGGAGUUUGAAGAAUGGAUUCAACAAGAUGCUAUGGUUAUGGAUUCCACCAUACAAGCGGCACUCAAAGAAAUCGAAGAGGUCAUUGCUGACUCUAGAGCUGCUUGCUCCACAAUUCAAGAAAAACUUAAAUGUCAAUCCAUGUAAUAAGUCUAAUGUGGAUGGGACUGGAAGAAUAGUGUAUGCAGACCAUUCUGCAAAUAGAUGGUGCGCCGUCGCUUUGGAUGACGAGAACCAGUUUUCCCCUAUAACUCCUUAUAGUAUUUCUCCUAUCAUUAUUUUAGUUUAUUCAUGUUGAUUUAAGCCCACCAAUCUGCCACAUUUUUUGGUAAUUUCAUUUUUACUCUUAAUAAAAUAAUUAUAACCACGUUAAAACUUAAAUGAAAAUUUUGGACUGCUAUUAACAAUUCUUUCUAAUUACCGAAAAACUAAUUAACAAUUUUUAUAAGGAAUAAGAUUUUUAGAAAAAAUAUCAAAUGAAAUUUUUAAAGUGCUAUUAACAAUUCUCAAAUUUAAAAGGAUAAAAAAAUUGAUGGCUAUUAUUUUUGGAGAACUCACAAGGCAAUGUGAAGAGUAAAAGCCAUAUAUUAAAGGCAAUGUUAGAGAGAUUAAAUUUGUAGAUAAAAUUUACAAACUAAUUAAAUGAUGUGCCACCAAUAGAAAUGAAUACAUUUAUCAACGUUUAAGUAAUAAUCUAAUAAUCAACUUACAUGUCACUUAUAUCGCGAAGGAAAUCUUGUUGCGGACAAUUUUGCUAACAUGAGCUUGUCUUCUCCAUCUUUAACAUGGCUUGAUUCUCCUCCUAUGGCGGUUCAUGCUGCUCUGUUUUUCUGACUAUGUUAGCUUGUCUGGUUACCGCUUCUCAAAUUAAUAUGCAUGUCGGCAUCUAGGUUUGUCUCACUUUCUUUUUUUCUCUCCUAACUUUAUGGUGUUGUUUGACUUGUUUUGCAGGUUUAGACCUUCAUGUUUGGUUCUAGAGGGGUUAGGUUUCAUGUCCCCCCCCUCUUUUCUUUGUAUCAUUCUUGUUUUUUGUUUCUAGAAGGGUAAGGUUUAUGUCCCCCCUUCUUUCUAGUGUAUUCCUUUUUGUUGUCUCUGUUUUUUGAGGGGUAAAGUUUAUGUCCCCCUUGACUAAGUGUAACUUGUUUUUUCGUUAUCAAUAAAAUUACCCUCGUACCGUCGAGGUUUUCCAAAAAAAAAAAAAAAAAAAAAAAACUUACAUGUCACUUAGUUUACACAAUUUAGUUUACAAAUUUAGUCUUUUUAACGUUACUCAUUUGUUAAAAUCUUUUAAGACUCAUGUCCAAGCGUGUAUGUGUGCAAAUCUCUAGUGAUACUCCUUCUUUAUGUCGAUGACAUAAUCCUAACUGGUGCUAAUGUUGAUGAUGUGCAAUCUAUGAUUAACGAGUUGACUGCAGAAUUUGAUAUGAAGGAUUUGGGGUUGUUACAUUUCUUCUUGGGGUUAUAGAUUGAGUAUCAAUCUCAAGGUGUGUGUGUUCAUUAAAGUAUGUCAAAUAUCUGCUUCAGAAAGCAAAUAUGGUUGACUGCAAACCUUGUCUCACUCCUUGUCAUCCUAACCAGAAAUUGCUCAAUCAUGGCAGUCCUCAUAUGGCUGAUCCUGGAUUUUAUUGAAGUCUUGUAGGUGCAUCGCAAUAUCUCACCUUAACUAGGCCUGAUAUUGCUUUCUCUGUAAACCAGGUGUGCCAAUAUAUGCAUACACCUCUUGAAGCUCAUUUUGCUGUUGUCAAAUGCAUUCUAAGCUAUCUUCAAGGUUAUGUCAGUUUGAGAUUGUGUUUUAAACCUGGCCCUUUAUAGUUAAAAGCAUAUACAUAUGCUUAUUGGGCUGGGGAUCCCAAUGAUCGACGAUCAACAACUGGCUUUGUUGUUUUUCUGGGAUCAUAUCCCAUUUCUUGGAGCUCUAAGAAGCAACACACUGUUAGCCAGUCUUCCACAGAGGCCGAGUAUAGAGCUAUGGCUACUACUACGGUUGAAGUGGUUUGGAUUCAACAAUUGCUUAAGGAUUUACAUCUUCUUGGUUCUGACACUCCAUUUCUCCACUGUGACAACAUUUCGGCUAUGGCACUUGCAACUAAUCCAGCAUUUCACUCAAAAUCAAAACAUAUUGAGAUAGAUUGGUAUUUCGUAUGUGAAAGAGUACAACAAGGCACCAUUUUGUUGCAGUUUGUCAACUCUUCAUAUCAGUAUGCAGAUAUGUUUACUAAAGGGUUGUGUUCACCUCAAUUUAGAUAUAAUUGUGCCAACCUCAUGCUUGGUUGUUCCAACCAUGAGCUUGUAGGGGGAUGAUAGAAUGUAUACACACUUAUGUGUUGAUGGGAUUAAGACAGGUGUCAUAAGAUUAAGAAUGGAGGUGUCAUGUGGUUGUCAAGAUGUAUUCUAUAAAUACUCAUCAUGUAAUUAUUCCAUUACAAUUAUUGAAAACAGAAAACAGUUAUUACAAUUGUCUCUCUAGAUUCUCUCUCUAAUAUCUCUCUCUUAUCUUUCGAUAGUUGCUUACACAGUAAGCUUUCUCUGGUUUGUUGACACUGGGUAAGCCCCUCUACUUCUUCUUCUUCUACAAAUUGAAUGUCUUAAUAUGUAUGCAAGCAUUUUAUUUUUGCCUCUACAAUUUUCUUUCAGUCACAAGUUCUGGUGUUAGAAUGGCUUACGUCCCACCCCACAAGAGGCAUUUAAAGGAAACCGAGAGGCCAUUGCUGAGGCUGGAGCUGCUUGCUCCCCAGUUCAAGAAAAACUUAAAUGCCAGGCCAUCAAAGUUUAAUGUUGAUACAAGUUCAAAGUCAUUUAUUUAUGCAAACCGUGCUUUAUUGAGAUUGUGCACCAUUGGUUUGGAUGACCAGAACCAGUUUCCGUCUACAGUUAAUCUUGAGCCCAUUUCCUUUCGGAAUCUACCGAGUGGAAUAAUGAAGAAAAACCUCUAGCUUUGAUAAACUCUUGUCUAGAUAAUGGUAAGUAGUAGCGUAACAUAUGCUUUGAUAAACUCUUGUUUAUGUUAUAGUUCUAAGGAAUCUACUUUUCAUCUUUUUUUAAGGUAUCAGAUAUCUAGGCAGCUUUGGAGGUAGUUAGCAUGUUAAUUUAAUACCUUUUUGCCUUUUUAGAUUCCUUGGCUAUUUUUUUGGGAUGUAUACAUACGUAAGCCAUUUUCUCGACAAUUGCACAAUGUCUGGAUAUUUGCAGGUCUUUCUACUAUUUCGGCUAUUUGGAAAGCUCGAAAUAAGUUUACUUUUUAGGGUUGUCCAAUCUACUUUCGUCAUCUUUACAUGUCUAUUAAUUCUUAGAUUGUUCAUGGUGGGAAGUUUAUUCCUGAUUACUUUCAGGGUUUUGACACUCGUAUCAUUUCUUCUUUGAUCCAACCUUUCCCUCGCAAGGCACCAACUAUUCUUCUUGUGCUUUGGUCUUCUCUUUGGUUUCCUUAGAUUAAACUUAAUACCGAUGGUUUAUCUAAAGGAAAUCCUGGUCCUGCUGCUUGUGGAUGAGUUUUCCAGGAUUGCCAUGGUGGUUUCUGCCAAGGGAUUGGUCAUAGAAACUUUUUUUUGGAAAAUCAUCAGCAUUUAUUAUUGGUGUAGAGUUUGCAUAUCAGCGGGGUUGAUAUUGUCUUUGGCUGGAAAGUGACUCUUCUAGUGUUAUUUGUGGUCUUAAUCGAUUGAUUUGGAUCCUCCUUGGCCUCUUCAUAUGCAAUGAUCUAUUUGUUUAGAACGCGUUUGCAAGAUGACUUUCUAUGCCUCUCACAUUUAUCGCAAAGGAAAUGUGGUUGCGGAAAAUUUUGCUAACAUGAGCUUGUCUUCUCCAACUUUGGUAUGGCAUGAUUCCCCUUUGUUGGCAUUUCAGGCUGCUUUGUUUUUAGACUAUGUUGGCUUUCCUGACUUCCGCUUCUUAAAUUAAUGUGCAUCUCGGCAUACAUGUUUGUCUCAUUUUCUGGUUUUUUCUUUCUUUCUUAACCUUGUGAUGUUGCUUGUUCUAUUUUGCAGAUUUAAUGUAACAUCCCACAUCGACCAACGAAGAGGUGGUGAUGUGCCUUAUAUAUACAUGCCCACCUUCUAUAGCACGAGGCAUUUUAGGAGCUCACUGACUUCGGGUUUCGUUGGAACUUCGAAGUUAAGCGAGUUCGGGCGAGAGUGGUCCUAAGAUGGGUGACCCACUGGGAAGUUCUCGUCUAAGUUCCCAGAAACAAAACCGUGAGGGCGUGGCCGGGGUAUAAAACGGAAAAUAUUGUGCUACGGCGGAACCGGAACUUAGAUGUGUCAGAUUGGUAUCAGAGCCACUCUGCCGUAUGGUGCGAGUGUGUUGACGAGGACGUCAGGCCUCUAAGGGGGGUGAAUUGUAACAUCCGACAUCAACCAACGAAGAGGUGGUGAUGUGCCUUAUAUGUAUAUGCCCACCUCUUAUAGUACGAGGCUUUUUGGGAUCUUAGUGGCUUCGGGUUUCGUCGGAAUUCCGAAGUUAAGCGAGUUUGGGCGAGAGCGGUCCUAGGAUGGGUGACCCACUGGAAAGUUCUCGUCUGAGUUCCCAGAAACAAAACCAUGAGGGCGUGGUCGGGGCCCAAAGCGGACAAUAUCGUGAUUUGGCGGAGCCGGGACUGGGAUGUGUCAUUUAAACCUUUAGGUUCACCUUUAGAUGGGUUAGGUUUCAUGUCCCCCCUCUUUUCCUUGUAUCUUUGUUGUUUUUGUUUCUAGAAGAGUAAGGUUUUUGUCCCCCUUCUUUUCCAUGUAUUUUUAAUCCUUUUUUCUUGUAUUAUGAGGGAUUAAGUUUAUGUCCCCUUGACUAGGUGUACCUUUUUUUUCAAUAUCGAUAAACUUUCCUCGUACCAUCGAGAUUUCCUAAAAUAGAAAAAAUAAAAAAACAAAAAAGUCUUGUUUUGCAAAUGUUCCGUUGUCGUAUAAGGAAUACAAUGUAAAGGAAGUUGACCCGAAGAUUGGAAUUGACCUCAAAGGGGAGAAAGAUUUAUACUAUGUAAAGGUAUAUUUCUUUUGCAAUAUUUCACAUCAACUUACUGAAUUCAUACUUUCACAGAUAUUCAAAGUGUAUUUUGGAUAUAUUAAAUCCCUCUCCUUCGUUCCUUGUUCAUAGUUGUCUGACUCUAGACGACCAAAAUGAAUCAUCACUUGCAAAUGCAGUGUGGCAAAAAAACAAGGAAAGCUACAUCUCAAGAAGGCAAGGUUUUAAGUUCAUACAUGUGAAUAUAUGGUUUAUAUACUACAAAAUCACGCACUGUUAUGUGUUAUAUUUUUUUAUUUAGUGAGACUUAUAUCAAAUGGCCAUUUUCUUUUAUAUGGAGCUGAGAUGCAAUGCAUUAGGGAUGUAACUAGUUCAGGGAUUCUGGAUUCAAAUGUGAAGGGAGGGUUGAGAUGCAACGCAUUAGGGAUGUAAAUAGUUCGGCGAUUCUGGAUUCAAAUGUGAAGGGAGGGUUGAGAUGGCCACUAGGGAAGGCGUUUUCAGAAGGCCGGUAUAAUGUCGUUGGAAUUUGGCAUAUAUUUACCACUACUUAUGAAAAUCCAACUCUGAAACUAAAGUUAAGGCAUGCGAAUCACUUCGAUUUUACCGCCUCGGCUCGUGAAACUAGUUGGGAGGUUAGGCUGUUUCUGAAAAUGCUCGUUUCCAAGUUAUAAGUAAGUCUUGUAUUUUUCUCUCAUAAUCAAGCAUCUAUCAUGUAAUGUACCAAGAAAAGAUCUAAUAGGUGUGUUCGUCUGGAGGAAUUUCCGAUGAGGACGUUUCCUGGCCGACGAGCACACAGCUCCCCAAGAGGUUGGCUUUGGUUGAUAUUGUCUAUCGGGCUUCUGCUUAUUGGAGGCUGUAAGAGAAAGACAUAGUUAUUUUGAAAGGUGCCUUUAUGGGGCCUUAGGUGUAGGCCUUGAGGUUCACAAUCAAAAUUAACUUUAGGUGUUCAGGCGUGCCAUUGCCAUCUUUAGCAUGACAGAUGUAAAACAUAUGUUUAGUUUAAUUGUAUAUGCCCGAGAGACUAAGUUAGCUAUGAAAGGUACCUUCGUAGGGCCUUAGGUGUAGGCCUUGAGGCUUGCAUUCAAAACUUAACUAAGUACUCGAACAUAUAGUGGUUGUUUCAUUGUUGCAGAAGUUUUACAACUGUUAUACUUUAAUCACCCGAGCCCGAAGAGCAGAAUGAAGCCAGAUAGGUGCCUUUAUAGGGCCUUAAGUAUAGGCCUUGAGGCUUGCCAUCAGAAUUAAUUUUAUACUCAAGUGUUCUGUGGCAAUCAUAAUAUAACAGAAGUAAAACUAAGAAAUAUGCUGAUUACUUGCGCCUCAAGUAACUUCAGACUUCUUGUUAUCAAGGAUUAUCGUGGAUGGGUUAAGUCCACAUAAAGUUCUUUUUAUGCCUUGAGACCAAUGACUUUUGACUGAUAAAUCUUGUAUCCCCGAAAUGUUAGAACUUAGAUCUGGUCAAGUUAUGAGUGCGGAUUCCAACUUUAUCUUUUGCAUGGUUGGGUACCAUUAAACAGACCAGAUCCAAGAACCAAGAAGCCUUUUAAUCAUAAACUUGCUAGAAAUAACUUGGAUACAGAUGGAAGUAUACAUCAUAUUACUAGAUUUAUGAAUGAAAAGACAGAACAAAGAGGGUCGGGCAAGGUUUCACCAUGUCGGGCAAGGUUGAUCGUCUUGCAACUUCCUCUCUUUGUGAUUUACAAAGGGUUUGAGUGCUAGAAGGAGAGAUUGGAAGAUGAGUUUACAGGAGGGAAUCGAUACUACAUCAAGAUUCAGACAAGGUAACAGAGCUUUUACAAAGGCUUUUGGUGAAGGUUGAUCCUGAAAAGGAUGAAGGUUUAGUGCUGACUACAGCUUCGUAUGCAAAUCUGGCUUGAGUAGAGUUUGUGUAUUUGUUUGUUUGAUUGAGUGUCCUUAUAUCUGAUUUCUCUUUCCUUUUUUAUAGAUGAUUUGGCUUGGCUGUCUGCAGCAUCGAUGUUGCCCGAAUGCGGCUGAAGGGUAAUGACUCAUCAGCUUUUUACUUGUACUGUCAUUGUAAAUUACUUUUGAGUUGAUUGGUUGGCUAGUCUACACCACUUGACUUUUACGUAGGUGAGUAAGUGGCUCAAGUGAUCUGCACUUAGUCGAGAAAAGGGCUUCUUCUGCCUUUUGGGCUUCGACUGAGCCUUGGGCUUCCUUCCUUCUAUACAUUCUUCUGGACUAACUUCCUUUUGAGCCUAAAAUUCCAGUUUUAACCCAAACAAUGUGUCCAUCAUAACAUACGCCGAUCUUAUUCUUUUGAUUUUUCAGGAAGAGAUGUUGAAGCGGCUUGAUUUUUGAUAUGCUGCAGGAAAAUGUGAAGUUGAUAUGGGACAACUGUUGGAUUUAAGUCAACAAUCUGUGAUAAAUUUAUAUAUGCUAAUAAAUAAUAAAUGCGAAUAGAAAAACUCACAGAGUAUGAACACAACUAAAAUAUAAAAUGGACAACUUGUAGAUCGAGGCUUGCGUACCGCAAUGUCCUUGAAACAGAAAUUUCGCCCCUACUCAGUGCUUGUAGUUCUCCGGACGUUUGUUUCACCAGGAUUCAACGAUCAAGUUAGAAUUCCAGCACCGGAAAACUUAACUUCUGGAGAAUUUCUUUGUGAUACUCUCAGUAAGAAUGUUAUGGAUUAUAGAAGGAGAUUUAUAUUUUUCUAUACUCUAAAUGCCAUGCAGACGGAUGUAUAUAUAGAGGGAUUAAGCCUGUUCGCAACAGGUAUGGAGAAGAAAUGUAUAUGUUGGAAAGCAUCUUCUCAGAAGGGGUGCUUUGCUCUGCGUUCUUUCUGAACUCUCAGACAUCAUCUGAAAGGAUGAACCUUUUCAUAAAAAUUAAGUUAAUUAAAUUCGAAAUUAAUUAAAAAUAAUUAAUUAAAGAAUUUAAUUUUCAGAGCCCAAGGCCCAUCUUUUGUUAAUUAAAUAUAUAUUAAUUAUCAAUUAAUUAGUGCACCUCAAAGCCCAACUUCAAGGGUGAGCCCAAUUUUAUUCUCCAAUGCCUAUUACUCCAAUUACUUUCUAUAAAGUAUAAAGCCUUAUAAAGUGAUGAAAGCUUUUGGGAAUGGCCACUGUGGGACAAAGAAAUUUAUACUCAAAUGACUCAAAUUUCCAAGAACAACUUCUUAUGCUGUGAACCUUUUCUAACAUGAAAUGGAACUGCAAGUGCAUCUCGUAAACUUCUCUAUUGGAACAAUGACUUACUACAUAAUUUGUUGUAAACCCCGGUGUUUUUUGGACUUGGUUCCUUCGUCUUAAGUCAAGUUCAGUUUACUUUUUAGAUUUGAAACUCUUAGUCGAGCUGAUGGCGAGAUUUUUUUUUUGUUGGUUGUGCUUGUGGGAAUGAUUUGCUUUGCUCAAUUAGGAGUUUGUCAUUACACUGGGAUGAUGCUUAUGAAUUUAUGAUAUCAGAAUGUUAAAUGUUAUUUAUGUAUUACGAAGUAAUUGAGGUUUUUCCCUAAAAUAAUUGAUAGUAUGCGGAAGAACUCGAUUCCUUGCUUAUGCAAGGUUGCUUAACCUUUUGAUGGAAGACGACAACUUACAUAAUGUCUUUGAAUAAGAAAGAUGUAACUACUAGAUACCCAGAUUUCUACUCACAUGUGAACUGAAUAAUAAACCACAUGUUUAAUUUAGACAUUUCAGUAAACCAUUAUCUCUUACAUCUGAUGUUGAGUUGAUUUUAUUUGUUAAUUUUGACGGUACGAGAAAAUUUUAUUAAUAUGAAAAAUAAAAGUUAUACUUGAUUAGGGACAAAAACCUUACCUCUUGUAACACAAGAAACAAGGAAGGAACAAAAACUUGACCUCUCCAUGAAUCUUGAAGAAAAUGAAUACAAAGAAAACUCGAGGUACAAAGGACCAAAACUUAAAAACACUGCAAUAAAGCAACAAUCUAAAAACUGAAUCCGAAAGUUUACCCUGAGUUGAAUUAUUCUCUCUAAUAAUAUCUUUUGUAUUAGAACAGAUUUUUUUUUUGGACAAAGAAACAUUCCAUUAAUGUAAGACAAAGAAACAUUCCAUUCAUGUAAGGGAAAAUACAAUUUGUGAGAGAUAGGCCUAAGUCCAAACAAAACACAAAGCCUUACAUAAAACAAAGCAGGACAUUAAAGGUAAAACAAACCCAAACCAAGUAGAGCGCCAACCCAAAACACAAAGGGAGGCCCAUACAUCAUUAGGCAUGUAGGCAGUAAAAGCAGAAAAGCAACAAAAACCCUAAUCUUUAGCAUCCAAAAGACCACCGCUGCCGCAGUAACAGCUUCCACCGCAAUAAAAUCUGUCGCCCCAAAAGAAAAAGAAAACCCGAACCCUAAACUAGAUAUGAGAGGGUUGUGCAGAAUCUAUCCACCAAGAAAUAAAGCCUCCACAUCCACAUCUGCAAGAAAGGUCACAAAACGUAACAGGAGGAGGGGGAGGGCAAAUGGGGUGUGUAAAACACCCUUGUUCCAAAGAGAAUCGUUCCACACUUCGCCCAAAUUUUCUGGCAAGCCGGUUCGGCAGUGGGAUUGGAGGGUUUGGUCUUGUGUAAAAGAAGAGCCCAAAACUCCAAGAUCUAAAUCGUGGUUAAGAGUUGGAAAAGAAGAGUGGGGAGGAGGCUAGGAGGAGGAGAGGAGAGGGUGCCACUAGCCCAAGCCGAAGCAAGGGCUAGCGGCGCCAUGGACGCUAGGGUUUGGAGCUCUUUCAGAGAGAGAGAUUCUAACAUUAUUUUUUAUGUAUUAUAAAAUUAGGAUCGUAACUCAGUUGUCAAGAAUUUUCGAUUCAAAUGAUUAAAGAUGUUUACUUUCCAAAUUUUAAUAUUAUGAAAAUGUGAAUUGGGGUCCACAUGAACGUACAAACGUCAGUGGAACUUAAACAAUAAAGUAAUGGGAAACAAACAAUAUCACUAUCAAAUAGCUUCUUUUUUACUUUAUAAAGGAAUAUUGCUAUUUACAUACUUCUUUUUAUUUCUUACAUUUUUCUCAAUUUUCGAUCAUCAGAUUGAAUGAAUUAAAAAAAAAAUUAAAGGAUUGAAAUUAACAACGAUUGUGUGAGAGGCAAAAAUAAAUGUAUGGGUAACAUUAUACCUCUAGCAAGGUUUGUCAUAGAACAAUAUGUAGAACCCCCACCAAAUUAUUGCAGGAAGUGUAGAUGGAUGGAAAUACUAAACAAGUUUAUGAGAAAUCUGAGUUGCUACAGCAGAGCUCUUGUAUUACUUCUUAUUGUAACUCUCUUAAUACAAAAUGAUAUGCCAAAGGCUAUAUAUAUAGUGAAUACAAAGUACUAGAGAGUUCAAACUAGAGAGUUCUUCCUAGAUAACUUAACAGAUAUAGGCUAGGAACAAUGACUCUAGAAUAAUUGUUCUUGGGAAUGUUUAGAGUCUUAACAUUUAGAGUAGUGCAUGAAUAAUUGUUCUUGGGAAUGUCUAGAAUCUUAACAUUUAGGAUAGUGCACUAAUUCCAACAAUUAUCGCCAGUAAAAGUUAAAAAGAAAACCCCAUCAGCAAGUUAUACUUUAGUCACAAAAAGUUGAAGAAGAAUAAAAGGUGCAAACUUUGGAAUUCCAUGUCUAUAAAACCUCAAAAGGCAAUGCACAGAGUACAGCAGCUCCAAUUUGUUAUCUUGAUCAUUUUUUAGUCUCUCAAGUUUCAAGUUUCUAUCUGCCUCUCUGGGUAGUGAUUUCUAGAUAAGCUUCUCUUUCUCUCUACUUAUAAAAUCCUCCCCAUUAAUUAUUUGAUCUUCUUUAUAUAAUAACAUUGAUUGUUUUAUCUGCUCUGUUCCGUGUUCAUAUCAAUCCAAAGCUAUGUAUUUUGCUUCUGUGUUCAUAUCAAUUCAAAGCUAUGUAUUUUGCUCCAAGAAAGUGAUCAAGAAAAUUACCCACUUGAAGAACCCUACCAUAAUCAGAUUUUUACUUUACUAGGCGAACCCUUUUUGUAAUUUUUGUACUUGUUCAGAGAGAAAUGCGAAGGAGACUCUCGAAAGUGGGACUCUCCAUGAACUCUCUACCGCUUCAUGUUUUUGGCAACUAUGGUAGAGAGUCCUUGGAGAGACAGCACUUUGGGAGAGUCCUUAUCAUUUCUCUUGUUCCGCAUUCGAAUGAAAGGUUUCAACUUUCAUCAUUUUCCCCAGCAACCAAACAAACCAAUAAGAAUUAACACAUCAACAGGCUGGACUUUCUUCAAUAAACAUGAGAAAGAACACUUGUUCUUGCAUAAACAAGAGUACUCUGUUUUAAAUCCUCUUUUCUUUUUUAUUUUCGGUUGCCCUCACUUUGAUCCUUUGGUUUUAUAGGCAUAAGUGCUAGUUCUACAAUGGCUUACGUUCCACCACACAGGCGGCACUCGAAGGAACUGGAGAGGCCAUUGGUCACUCCAGAGCUGCUUGCUCCUCAAUUCAAGAAAAACUUAAAAGUCAAGCCAUUUAAUAAAGUGGAUGAAAAUAUAGUUUAUGCAGACCAUUCUACACAUGGAUGGUGCGCCAUCCCUUUGGAUGACGAGAACCAGUUCCCAUCUUCUGUUAAUCUUGAGCCCGUUACCUUGGAGUCUGUUGAGCUGAAUUUUGGAGAAAAUCAUCUAGCUUUGAUCAAUAC
rnacentral:lncRNA from 1 species